UCAAGUUAUUAAGGGUGCAGGGCGGAUGCCUUGGCACUAGGAGCCGAUGAAGGACGUGAUAAGCUGCGAUAAGCUUCGGGGAGUUGCACGUAAACUUUGAUCCGAAGAUUUCCGAAUGAGGAAACUCACUUAGAGUAAUGUCUAAGUAUCAUUAAGUGAAUACAUAGCUUAAUGAGGGGAACUCAGGGAACUGAAACAUCUAAGUACCUGAAGGAAGAGAAAGAAAUUCGAUUCCGUAAGUAGCGGCGAGCGAACGCGGAUUAGCCCAAACCAAUAAAGUUUUCUUUAUUGGGGUUGAGGACAUACCACAUAUAAGAGGUCAUUAUAGACGAAGAAGUUUGGAAAAACUCAUCAUAGAAGGUAAUAAUCCUGUAGUCAAAAUAAUAAUUCUUUAGGUAUGAUCCAGAGUACCACGGGACACGUGAAACCCUGUGGGAAGCAGGAGGGACCACCCUCCAAGGCUAAAUACUACCUAGUGACCGAUAGCGUAUAGUACCGUGAGGGAAAGGUGAAAAGAACCCCGGGAGGGGAGUGAAAUAGAACCUGAAACCCUGCACUUACAAGCUGUGGAAGCACAUUUCUUGUGUGACCGCGUACUUUUUGUAGAACGGGCCAACGAGUUACGUUAAGUAGCAAGGUUAAGCACUUAAGGUGCGGAGCCGUAGCGAAAGCGAGUUUUAACUGAGCGUUCAGUUACUUGACGUAGACCCGAAACCGGGCGACCUACCCAUGAGCAGGACGAAGCGAAAGUAAAAUUUCGUGGAGGUCCGAACCCACGAGCGUUGAAAAGCUCGGGGAUGACUUGUGGGUAGCGGUGAAAUUCCAAUCGAGCCCGGAGAUAGCUGGUUCUCCCCGAAAUAGCUUUAGGGCUAGCCUCAAGGUGAGAGAUACGGAGGUAGAGCACUGAAUGUCCUAGGGGGUAUUGCACCUACCGAAGACUAUCAAACUCCGAAUGCCGUCAUCUUAUACUUGGGAGUCAGACUGUGGGUGAUAAGAUUCAUAGUCGAAAGGGCAACAGCCCAGAUCGUCAGCUAAGGUCCCUAAAUGUAAGUUAAGUGGUAAAGGAUGUGGGAUUGCACAGACAACCAGGAUGUUGGCUUAGAAGCAGCCACUCAUUCAAAGAGUGCGUAAUAGCUCACUGGUCGAGUGAUCCUGCGCCGAAGAUUUCCGGGGCUAAAACUUACUACCGAAGCUACGGCAUCAUUAUGAUGGGUAGGGGAGCUUCCCAUACGGGUUGAAGCAUGACCGUAAGGACAUGUGGACAGUAUGGGAGUGAGAAUGUUGGCAUGAGUAGCGAGAUGUGGGUGAGAAUCCCACAGGCCGUAAACCCAAGGUUUCCAGGGGAAGGUUCGUCCGCCCUGGGUUAGUCGGGACCUAAGCUGAGGCCGAAAGGCGUAGGUGAUGGACAACAGGUUGAUAUUCCUGUACUACCGAUAACCGUUUGAGAGAAGGGAUGACACAGUAGGAUAAGCUAAGCACACUGUUGGUUAUGUGUGCCCAAGCAUUGAGGCAGUCAAAGCAGGCAAAUCCGCUUUGAUAAUGCUGGGAUGUGAUGGGGAGCGAAAUUUAGUAGCGAAGUAGCUGAUUUCACACUGUCAAGAAAAGUCUCUAUCGAGGUUAAAGGUACCCGUACCGCAAACCGACACAGGUGGGUGAGGAGAGUAUCCUAAGGCCAGCGAGAGAACUGUUGUUAAGGAACUCGGCAAAAUGACCCCGUAACUUAGGGAUAAGGGGUGCCACCAUCAGGUGGCCGCAGAGAAUAGGCCCAAGCGACUGUUUACCAAAAACAUAGGUUUCUGCUAAGUCGCAAGACGAUGUAUAGGAGCUGACGCCUGCCCGGUGCUGGAAGGUUAAGGGGAUCUGUUAGAGCAAUCGAAGCAGUGAACUUAAGCCCCAGUAAACGGCGGCCGUAACUAUAACGGUCCUAAGGUAGCGAAAUUCCUUGUCGGGUAAGUUCCGACCCGCACGAAAGGCGUAACGAUUUGGGCACUGUCUCAACAACAGACUCGGUGAAAUUGUAAUUCCGGUGAAGAUGCCGGAUACCUGCGACAGGACGGAAAGACCCCAUGGAGCUUUACUGUAGCUUGACAUUGGGUCUUGGUACUACAUGUACAGGAUAGGUGGGAGGCUUUGAAACCAGGACGCCAGUUUUGGCGGAGCCAUCCUUGGGAUACCACCCUUGUAGUACUGGGACUCUAACCAUAGGCCAUGAAUCUGGUCUUGGGACACUGUCAGGUGGGCAGUUUGACUGGGGCGGUCGCCUCCCAAAAGGUAACGGAGGCGCUCAAAGGUUCUCUCAGUACGGUCGGAAAUCGUACGUAGAGUGUAAAGGCAAAAGAGAGCUUGAUUGCAAGACAUACAGGUCGAGCAAGGAUGAAAAUCGGACUUAGUGAUCCGGUGGUUCUGCGUGGAAGGGCCAUCGCUCAACGGAUAAAAGCUACCCUGGGGAUAACAGGCUUAUCUCCCCCAAGAGUCCACAUCGACGGGGAGGUUUGGCACCUCGAUGUCGGCUCAUCACAUCCUGGGGCUGUAGUAGGUCCCAAGGGUUGGGCUGUUCGCCCAUUAAAGUGGUACGCGAGCUGGGUUCAGAACGUCGUGAGACAGUUCGGUCCCUAUCCGUCGCAGGCGUAGGAAAUUUGAGAAGACCUGUCCUUAGUACGAGAGGACCGGGAUGGACGUACCUCUGGUGUACCAGUUGUCCUGCCAAGGGCAUGGCUGGGUAGCUAUGUACGGAAUGGAUAAGCGCUGAAAGCAUCUAAGCGCGAAGCCAACUUCAAGAUAAGAUUUCCCACCGCAAGGGUAAGACCCCAGAAAGACUAUCUGGUUGAUAGGUCGAAGGUGUAAGUGCAGCAA
rnacentral:rRNA from 1 species